rnacentral:rRNA from 2 species
UGGGGAAUAUUGCGCAAUGGAGGAAACUCUGACGCAGCAACGCCGCGUGAAGGAUGAAGGCUUUCGGGUUGUAAACUUCUUUGAUCGGGGACGAAGAUGACGGUACCCGAGGAACAAGCCACGGCUAACUACGUGCCAGCAGCCGCGGUAAUACGUAGGUGGCAAGCGUUGUCCGGAAUUACUGGGUGUAAAGGGCGUGUAGGCGGGAAAGUAAGUCAGAUGUGAAAUACCGGGGCUUAACUCCGGGGCUGCAUCUGAAACUGUUUUUCUUGAGUGUCGGAGAGGAAAGCGGAAUUCCUAGUGUAGCGGUGAAAUGCGUAGAUAUUAGGAGGAACACCGAUGGCGAAGGCAGGUCUCUGGGCCGCAACUGACGCUGAGGAGCGAAAGCAUGGGGAGCGAACAGG